rnacentral:rRNA from 1 species
AACGAACGCUGGCGGCAGGCUUAACACAUGCAAGUCGAACGCCCCGCAAGGGGAGUGGCAGACGGGUGAGUAACGCGUGGGAACAUACCCUUUCCUGCGGAAUAGCUCUGGGAAACUGGAAUUAAUACCGCAUACGCCCUACGGGGGAAAGAUUUAUCGGGGAAGGAUUGGCCCGCGUUGGAUUAGCUAGUUGGUGGGGUAAAGGCCUACCAAGGCGACGAUCCAUAGCCGGUCUGAGAGGAUGAUCAGCCACAUUGGACUGAGACACGGCCCAAACUCCUACGGGAGGCAGCAGUGGGGAAUAUUGGACAAUGGGCGCAAGCCUGAUCCAGCCGUGCCGCGUGAGUGAUGAAGGCCUUAGGGUUGUAAAGCUCUUUCACCGAUGAAGAUAAUGACGGUAGUCGGAAAAGAAGCCCCGGCUAACUUCGUGCCAGCCGCCGCGGUAA